rnacentral:rRNA from 1 species
ACCGAGAUUCCCCCAGUAGCGGCGAGCGAACGGGGAGGAGCCCAGAGCCUGAAUCAGUGUGUGUGUUAGUGGAAGCGUCUGGAAAGGCGCGCGAUACAGGGUGACAGCCCCGUACACAAAAAUGCACAUAUUGUGAGCUCGAUGAGUAGGGCGGGACACGUGGUAUCCUGUCUGAAUAUGGGGGGACCAUCCUCCAAGGCUAAAUACUCCUGACUGACCGAUAGUGAACCAGUACCGUGAGGGAAAGGCGAAAAGAACCCCGGCGAGGGGAGUGAAAAAGAACCUGAAACCGUGUACGUACAAGCAGUGGGAGCCUCUUUAUGGGGUGACUGCGUACCUUUUGUAUAAUGGGUCAGCGACUUAUAUUCUGUAGCAAGGUUAACCGAAUAGGGGAGCCGAAGGGAAACCGAGUCUUAACUGGGCGUUAAGUUGCAGGGUAUAGACCCGAAACCCGGUGAUCUAGCCAUGGGCAGGUUGAAGGUUGGGUAACACUAACUGGAGGACCGAACCGACUAAUGUUGAAAAAUUAGCGGAUGACUUGUGGCUGGGGGUGAAAGGCCAAUCAAACCGGGAGAUAGCUGGUUCUCCCCGAAAGCUAUUUAGGUAGCGCCUCGUGAAUUCAUCUCCGGGGGUAGAGCACUGUUUCGGCAAGGGGGUCAUCCCGACUUACCAACCCGAUGCAAACUGCGAAUACCGGAGAAUGUUAUCACGGGAGACACACGGCGGGUGCUAACGUCCGUCGUGAAGAGGGAAACAACCCAGACCGCCAGCUAAGGUCCCAAAGUCAUGGUUAAGUGGGAAACGAUGUGGGAAGGCCCAGACAGCCAGGAUGUUGGCUUAGAAGCAGCCAUCAUUUAAAGAAAGCGUAAUAGCUCACUGGUCGAGUCGGCCUGCGCGGAAGAUGUAACGGGGCUAAACCAUGCACCGAAGCUGCGGCAGCGACACUAUGUGUUGUUGGGUAGGGGAGCGUUCUGUAAGCCUGUGAAGGUGGCCUGUGAGGGUUGCUGGAGGUAUCAGAAGUGCGAAUGCUGACAUAAGUAACGAUAAAGCGGGUGAAAAGCCCGCUCGCCGGAAGACCAAGGGUUCCUGUCCAACGUUAAUCGGGGCAGGGUGAGUCGACCCCUAAGGCGAGGCCGAAAGGCGUAGUCGAUGGGAAACAGGUUAAUAUUCCUGUACUUGGUGUUACUGCGAAGGGGGGACGGAGAAGGCUAUGUUGGCCGGGCGACGGUUGUCCCGGUUUAAGCGUGUAGGCUGGUUUUCCAGGCAAAUCCGGAAAACCAAGGCUGAGGCGUGAUGACGAGGCACUACGGUGCUGAAGCGACAAAUGCCCUGCUUCCAGGAAAAGCCUCUAAGCAUCAGGUAACAUCAAAUCGUACCCCAAACCGACACAGGUGGUCAGGUAGAGAAUACCAAGGCGCUUGAGAGAACUCGGGUGAAGGAACUAGGCAAAAUGGUGCCGUAACUUCGGGAGAAGGCACGCUGAUAUGUAGGUGAAGCGACUUGCUCGUGGAGCUGAAAUCAGUCGAAGAUACCAGCUGGCUGCAACUGUUUAUUAAAAACACAGCACUGUGCAAACACGAAAGUGGACGUAUACGGUGUGACGCCUGCCCGGUGCCGGAAGGUUAAUUGAUGGGGUUAGCGGUAACGCGAAGCUCUUGAUCGAAGCCCCGGUAAACGGCGGCCGUAACUAUAACGGUCCUAAGGUAGCGAAAUUCCUUGUCGGGUAAGUUCCGACCUGCACGAAUGGCGUAAUGAUGGCCAGGCUGUCUCCACCCGAGACUCAGUGAAAUUGAACUCGCUGUGAAGAUGCAGUGUACCCGCGGCAAGACGGAAAGACCCCGUGAACCUUUACUAUAGCUUGACACUGAACAUUGAGCCUUGAUGUGUAGGAUAGGUGGGAGGCUUUGAAGUGUGGACGCCAGUCUGCAUGGAGCCGACCUUGAAAUACCACCCUUUAAUGUUUGAUGUUCUAACGUUGGCCCGUAAUCCGGGUUGCGGACAGUGUCUGGUGGGUAGUUUGACUGGGGCGGUCUCCUCCUAAAGAGUAACGGAGGAGCACGAAGGUUGGCUAAUCCUGGUCGGACAUCAGGAGGUUAGUGCAAUGGCAUAAGCCAGCUUGACUGCGAGCGUGACGGCGCGAGCAGGUGCGAAAGCAGGUCAUAGUGAUCCGGUGGUUCUGAAUGGAAGGGCCAUCGCUCAACGGAUAAAAGGUACUCCGGGGAUAACAGGCUGAUACCGCCCAAGAGUUCAUAUCGACGGCGGUGUUUGGCACCUCGAUGUCGGCUCAUCACAUCCUGGGGCUGAAGUAGGUCCCAAGGGUAUGGCUGUUCGCCAUUUAAAGUGGUACGCGAGCUGGGUUUAGAACGUCGUGAGACAGUUCGGUCCCUAUCUGCCGUGGGCGCUGGAGAACUGAGGGGGGCUGCUCCUAGUACGAGAGGACCGGAGUGGACGCAUCACUGGUGUUCGGGUUGUCAUGCCAAUGGCACUGCCCGGUAGCUAAA